rnacentral:rRNA from 1 species
AGUGAACGCUGGCGGCAGGCCUAACACAUGCAAGUCGAGCGGCAGCGGGUCCUUCGGGAUGCCGGCGAGCGGCGGACGGGUGAGGAAUACAUCGGAAUCUGCCCUGUCGUGGGGGAUAACCUAGGGAAACUUAGGCUAAUACCGCAUACGACCUACGGGUGAAAGCGGGGGAUCGCAAGACCUCGCGCGACAGGAUGAGCCGAUCUCCGAUUAGCUAGUUGGCGGGGUAAAGGCCCACCAAGGCGACGAUCGGUAGCUGGUCUGAGAGGAUGAUCAGCCACACUGGGACUGAGACACGGCCCAGACUCCUACGGGAGGCAGCAGUGGGGAAUAUUGGACAAUGGGCGCAAGCCUGAUCCAGCCAUGCCGCGUGGGUGAAGAAGGCCUUCGGGUUGUAAAGCCCUUUUGUCCGGGAAGAAAUCGUCUGGGCUAAUACCCCGGGCGGAUGACGGUACCGGAAGAAUAAGCACCGGCUAACUUCGUG